rnacentral:rRNA from 1 species
UACGGAGGGUGCAAGCGUUAUCCGGAUUCACUGGGUUUAAAGGGUGCGUAGGUGGGUUGGUAAGUCAGCGGUGAAAUCCCCGAGCUUAACUUGGGAACUGCCAUUGAUACUAUUAAUCUUGAAUACCGUGGAGGUUAGCGGAAUAUGUCAUGUAGCGGUGAAAUGCUUAGAUAUGACAUAGAACACCAAUUGCGAAGGCAGCUGGCUACACGAAUAUUGACACUGAUGCACGAAAAGCGUGGGGGAUCAAACAGG